rnacentral:rRNA from 1 species
AUUGAACGCUGGCGGCAGGCCUAACACAUGCAAGUCGAACGGUAACAGGAAGAAGCUUGCUUCUUUGCUGACGAGUGGCGGACGGGUGAGUAAUGUCUGGGAAACUGCCUGAUGGAGGGGGAUAACUACUGGAAACGGUAGCUAAUACCGCAUAACGUCGCAAGGCCAAAGAGGGGGACCUUCGGGCCUCUUGCCAUCGGAUGUGCCCAGAUGGGAUUAGCUAGUAGGUGGGGUAACGGCUCACCUAGGCGACGAUCCCUAGCUGGUCUGAGAGGAUGACCAGCCACACUGGAACUGAGACACGGUCCAGACUCCUACGGGAGGCAGCAGUGGGGAAUAUUGCACAAUGGGCGCAAGCCUGAUGCAGCCAUGCCGCGUGUAUGAAGAAGGCCUUCGGGUUGUAAAGUACUUUCAGCGGGGAGGAAGGGAGUAAAGUUAAUACCUUUGCUCAUUGACGUUACCCGCAGAAGAAGCACCGGCUAACUCCGUG